rnacentral:rRNA from 1 species
CCUGCGGAGGGAUCAUUACCGAGUUUACAACUCCCAAACCCCUGUGAACAUACCACUUGUUGCCUCGGCGGAUCAGCCCGCUCCCGGUAAAACGGGACGGCCCGCCAGAGGACCCCUAAACUCUGUUUCUAUAUGUAACUUCUGAGUAAAACCAUAAAUAAAUCAAAACUUUCAACAACGGAUCUCUUGGUUCUGGCAUCGAUGAAGAACGCAGCAAAAUGCGAUAAGUAAUGUGAAUUGCAGAAUUCAGUGAAUCAUCGAAUCUUUGAACGCACAUUGCGCCCGCCAGUAUUCUGGCGGGCAUGCCUGUUCGAGCGUCAUUUCAACCCUCAAGCACAGCUUGGUGUUGGGACUCGCGUUAAUUCGCGUUCCUCAAAUUGAUUGGCGGUCACGUCGAGCUUCCAUAGCGUAGUAGUAAAACCCUCGUUACUGGUAAUCGUCGCGGCCACGCCGUUAAACCCCAACUUCUGAAUGUG